rnacentral:tRNA from 1 species
UGGGGCGUCGCCAAGUGGUAAGGCAACGGUUUUUGGUACCGUCAUUCCCAGGUUCGAAUCCUGGCGCCCCAGC